UUUGAUCAUGGCUCAGAUUGAACGCUGGCNGCAGGCCUAACACAUGCAAGUCGAACGGUAANAGGAAGCAGCUUGCUGCUUCGCUGACGAGUGGCGGACGGGUGAGUAAUGUCUGGGAAACUGCCUGAUGGGGGGGGAUAACUACUGGAAACGGUAGCUAAUACCGCAUAACGUCGCAAGACCAAAGAGGGGGACCUUCGGGCCUCUUGCCAUCGGAUGUGCCCAGAUGGGAUUAGCUAGUAGGUGGGGUAACGGCUCACCUAGCGACGAUCCCUAGCUGGUCUGAGAGGAUGACCAGCCACACUGGAACUGAGACACGGUCCAGACUCCUACGGGAGGCAGCAGUGGGGAAUAUUGCACAAUGGGCGCAAGCCUGAUGCAGCCAUGCCGCGUGUAUGAAGAAGGCCUUCGGGUUGUAAAGUACUUUCAGCGGGGAGGAAGGCGAUAAGGUUAAUAACCUUGUCGAUUGACGUUACCCGCAGAAGAAGCACCGGGCUAACUCCCGUGCCAGUCAGCCGCGGUAAUACCGGGAGGUGCAAGGCGGUUAAUCGGGAAUUACUGGGGCGGUUAAAGCGGCCACG
rnacentral:rRNA from 1 species